UUGUCUUUUAAAUAAAGACCAGUAUGAAUGGCAAGACGAAAGUUUAACUGUCUCCCUAAAUUAAUCAAUGAAAUUGAUCUUCCCGUGCAGAAGCGGGAAUAAAAUUAUAAGACGAGAAGACCCUAUGGAGCUUUAAAUAUAUGAUCAAUUGCAUAAUAUUAACCCCGAAAGAUAUAAAGUAAAGUAAAGCACUAUGAUCAGAAUUUUAGGUUGGGGCGACCACGGAGAAAAAUUUAACCUCCGAGAUGAAAAGAACAUCUUAAUUUAUGAAUUACAAUUCUAAAAAAUAAAAUAUUUAACAUAAUUGAUCCAAUAUAUUGAUCAACGGACUAAGUUACCCUAGGGAUAACAGCGCAAUCCUUUCCAAGAGUUCCUAUCGACGAAUGGGUUUACGACCUCGAUGUUGGAUCAGGACACCCCAAUGGUGCAGCCGCUAUUAAAGGUUCGUUUGUUCAACGAUUAAAGU
rnacentral:rRNA from 1 species